GCCCACUGGCUGCCAAGUUCCUGGGUGCUGCUGGCUGUGGAGGCUCCAGCUGCUGGGAGCCAGGACAGUUCAGGCAUGUACGCUCCAGAAGGUCUUGACUGAGCUCUGGGGCCUAGUCCUGGGGCACCCUGGUGAUCUUCAGAGACCUCAACUCCCACAUGGGGAAGAUAGCAGCAGCCUCCUUGGUACACCACUUGGGAAGGCCCGCCCCAUGAGAGGAGCCACGGGGGCAGAAGGCCGCCCACCUCCCUAAGGUG
rnacentral:lncRNA from 1 species